CCCUGGUGAAAGAAACUUGUGCCCAUAGGCCCUACACCGUCACCUAAGUGAACCUGGGAUCGCGAAACCUCCCAAAGUUGAGGAACUACUUUUCAACAAGCGACUGCUUACCUACCACAUAGCUUGACCGAAUGGCCUCUGGCUCUUUAUAAGGGUCUCUAUGGUCUGGAGGAGGCUGCUGGCUGGAUUCAUCUUCAUGCAUCCUCCACGAUUGGCACUGGCUCAGCAAACCAUUCAACCAUCUCUUUGGAGACUCUGGGUGCCACAGUUGGUGCGUCCUUAUCAUUCAAAUCCCAUAUCAGAGGAUUCCCUUCACAUGUUUUAAACGUCAACAUCAAAACCAGGAGCUGAUGACAACACUCUGUUGUCUCUUUCCAAUGAAAUGUUCCUGAUCUUCAAAAAAAUAAUUCAUAGACUCCUUGGCUGAGAAAAGAAAGGAUGAUAUUAAUAGUUCAUACUCAGCAUCAUUCAUUGAUCUCAAUAAUAG
rnacentral:lncRNA from 12 species